AGAGCGAACGCUGGCGGCAGGCUUAACACAUGCAAGUCGAGCGGGCGUAGCAAUACGUCAGCGGCAGACGGGUGAGUAACGCGUGGGAACAUACCUUUUGGUUCGGAACAACACAGGGAAACUUGUGCUAAUACCGGAUAAGCCCUUACGGGGAAAGAUUUAUCGCCGAAAGAUUGGCCCGCGUCUGAUUAGCUAGUUGGUGAGGUAACGGCUCACCAAGGCGACGAUCAGUAGCUGGUCUGAGAGGAUGAUCAGCCACAUUGGGACUGAGACACGGCCCAAACUCCUACGGGAGGCAGCAGUGGGAAUAUUGGACAAUGGGCGCAAGCCUGAUCCAGCCAUGCCGCGUGAGUGAUGAAGGCCCUAGGGUUGUAAAGCUCUUUUGUGCGGGAAGAUAAUGACGGUACCGACAAGAAUAAGCCCGGCUAACUUCGCGCCAGCAGCCGC
rnacentral:rRNA from 1 species